AAGUCUUGGAGACCUUUUACAUCUCUAAGAAUAAUUUAAUGAUCGUUUUUUUUUAUUAUAUAUUUUAUCUCUGACUUGGAGACUCUUACAUCUCUAAAGAAUUUUAGUAUUUGUUGGUUGUAUUUUUUUAUCAUAGUUUUUUGUGUAAUUUUUGCAUUUUUGCCUUUUACGUGUUUCUAGCAGCGGGUUUAAGAUCCUGCAUUCUUUAGAAAUACUACUCGAGUCGACUUUAAAUUGUAGAACAGUUUAUAGGGACAUGAAACAUAUAUCUGCAAUAAAAUUGUUUCUUUUUUGUACCUAUAUAUCUCUAGGUUUUUUUUCCUUACUUGUUAUUUUCUAGAAAUGGAUUAGCGGUUCUUCAAUAUUAAGAAACUUUUUAUUUUCAGUGACAUGGACGACGAAUUCCCGCGGCAAGCCGAUGGUACUCGUCAACGGCUUCAGUUUCUGCCACCAGCAUAGCUCUACCUACACGAAGCGUGACAUGGACUACUAAUUCCCGCGGUAAGCCGAUGGUUCUCGUCAAUGGAUUCAGUUUUUGUCACCAGCAGAGCUCUACGUAUACGAAGCGGUGGAUUUGCACCUCGGCCUCGGGUCAAAACAAGUGCAGAGCGCGCGUCAUCACUUCCACUGGGGGAGAACUUGUGAAGGCUGAGCUGAACCACAAUCAUUCGCCGCCGCAUUAUACGAUUAGAGAUGGGGUGUACUUUAAAAUAUAAACAAAGUGUAUCUGUAGCUACAAAGUUUUGAUUACAGAGAAUAGCAAGG